rnacentral:rRNA from 1 species
GGGAUUACCUUAGUAACGGCGAGUGAACUGGUAAAAGCUCAAAUUUGAAAUCUGAUCUAUAUCGGUCAGAGUUGUAAUUUGUAGAGGAUGUUUGUUUCCAUUCUGGAGUUUAAGUCUCUUGGAAAAGAGCAUCAUGGAGGGUGACAAUCCCGUAAAUGGCUCCAAGAUUUGGAAUUUAUCAAGCUGCUUCGAUGAGUCGAGUUGUUUGGGAAUGCAGCUCUAAAUGGGAGGUAAAUUUCUUCCAAGGCUAAAUAUUGGCUGGAGACCGAUAGCGAACAAGUAGAGUGAUCGAAAGAUGAAAAGUACUUUGGAAAGAGAGUUAAAUAGUGUGUGAAAUUGUUGAAAGGGAAGCAUUUACAAUCAGAGUUACAUUUUGGAGAUGGUCUUAUCACAAUUUUGUGCUAUGCCUCAAUUCUCCUUCAAUGUGUGUCAACAUCAAUUUGAGUAGUAAUAAAAGCUGGCUUGAAAUGUAGCUCUACGAGUGUUAUAAUCAAGUACUUCUCAUUGCUCAUUCAAAUUGAGGAACGCGUUUCGGCAAGGAUGUUGACUUAAUGGUUGUAAGUGGCCCGUCUUGAAACACGGACCAAGGAGUCUAACGUUUACGCAAGUGUUUGGGUGUAAAGCUCAGAUGCGUAAUGAAAGUGAAUGAAGGUGAGAAAAUUCUUAAGAAUUAGCAUCAUCGACCGAUCUUGCGAUUUAUCAAAGGAUUUGAGUAUGAGCGUAGCUGUUGGGACCCGAAAGAUGGUGAACUAUGCCUGCUUAGGCUGAAGUCAGGGGAAACCCUGAUGGAGGGUCGCAGCGGUUCUGACGUGCAAAUCGAUCGUCAAAAGUGGGUAUAGGGGCGAAAGACCAAUCGAACC